AGAAGUGCCGAGCUAAGGACGCUACUAAGGGGGCGGGAUCGCCACGUGGAGUUUUGUUUUAGGUGCUGUCUCUCCUGUUGUUGUUGUCCUUUACACGAUGGUGUUGCAAGAAAAUGGAUAUGGUGUUGAGGAAGACAUUCCAACAUUACUAAUGGCUGCUAGCAGUAUGGAUGACAUUCUGGCUAUCACUGGAUUCAAUACAUGCUUGAGCAUAGUCUUCUCCUCGGGCUGUGCUAGGUCCUCUGGCUCUAGAAACAGCAAGAGUCUCCGCACCCCACUUGGAACCAUAUGCGAAGGAUGUGAUGACAGUAGCAUUUUUAGCCAUCUCGAUCACAGCUCCAAAUGGAGCUCUACUUAUGGGCAUUCUGGGGCCUAAAAUGCUUACACACCAUUAUGAUCCAAGCAAAAUAAAACUGCAAUUGUCAACAUUAGAACAUCAUUAAAAAGUUUACCUGUC
ensembl:lncRNA novel transcript